rnacentral:rRNA from 1 species
AGCGAACGCUGGCGGCAGGCCUAACACAUGCAAGUCGAACGAACUCUUCGGAGUUAGUGGCGGACGGGUGAGUAACACGUGGGAACGUGCCUUUUGGUUCGGAAUAACUCAGGGAAACUUGUGCUAAUACCGAAUGUGCCCUUCGGGGGAAAGAUUUAUCGCCAUUAGAGCGGCCCGCGUCUGAUUAGCUAGUUGGUGAGGUAACGGCUCACCAAGGCGACGAUCAGUAGCUGGUCUGAGAGGAAGACCAGCCACACUGGGACUGAGACACGGCCCAGAAUCCUACGGGAGGCAGCAGUGGGGAAUCUUGCGCAAUGGGCGAAAGCCUGACGCAGCCAUGCCGCGUGAAUGAUGAAGGUCUUAGGAUUGUAAAAUUCUUUCAACGGGGACGAUAAUGACGGUACCCGGAGAAGAAGCCCCGGCUAACUUCGUG